UACAGGGGGUGCAAACGUUGCUCGGAAUUAUUGGGCGUAAAGCGCGCGUAGGCGGCUACCUAAGUCGGAUGUGAAAGCCCCUGGCUCAACUGGGGAAGUGCACCCGAAACUGGAUAGCUUGAGUGCGAAAGAGGGUCGCGGAAUUCCCGGUGUAGAGGUGAAAUUCGUAGAUAUCGGGAGGAACACCGGUGGCGAAGGCGGCGACCUGGGUCGACACUGACGCUGAGGCGCGAAAGCUAGGGGAGCAAACAGG
rnacentral:rRNA from 1 species